rnacentral:rRNA from 1 species
GUCUCAGGCCGUAUCAGCCUGAAGGCGCCCGAUCUCGUCUGAUCUCGGAAGCUAAGCAGGGUCGGGCCUGGUUAGGAUCUGGGAUGGGAGACCACCUGGGAACUCCCGGGUGCUCGAGGUC